CAGCUGGUGUCAAAUAUCGGCGUUUUAAUCACUUCGUUUGGAGCAAUUGGUGCCUUUUGGUACCAAUUGAAAACAUAUAUAUUAUCGACGAACCAGCUCAAACAAGACCGAAUGACACCGAAACAAAUUCACAACAUUCAAUAAACCAGCGAGUGAACGGAUGUGAAAAGCGAUUGGAUGAAAUGGAAGAACGAUUGAAAUGUUUAGAAGAUGAAAGGAAUUCCUGAGCUGCAACGAAUUAAACCAAGAUUAGGAGCGUCUCCAACGUCUGAAGAUUUACAUAUAGUUCUGCGUCCUACUAUAACAGAAGCUGGAAUAUGUCACACAUUCUCGGAACUCACCAAUUAUUUCAUAGCAGGUACCCCAAUCAAAUGGUGGCAAAACCACAGAACAUGGUAUAAUGUCAAGCUGCAAUGUGGUAUAGUUAAUCAGUGUGAUUAUUGGUCUAAUUUUGUAAGACCUUUCCAAAAAGCAACGAUUUAUUUGUGCAUGGAGUAAACGAUAUUCCCAGUCAAAAGAAAACCCUAAAAAUUGAAUGGCUUACUACAAAAACCCAUAAUUCCACACAAUUCGAAAUAGACAUUGGUGGAGUAUUCACUAGCAAUCGCAGCAAAAUGUUCGACAUUGAGACACGCAGGUGUAGAUUUGUUGAUGAAGUCACAUCGCAUCGGAGCUAUCCGCUUGGCGUAUAUACACAAAGUCUGUGUUUGACUGAAUGCGCUGCUGAUGCUGCAGUAAAACUGUGUGGAUGUCGGCCAUUCUUUUAUAAAAUCGGUGAUUGAUUUUCAUUGAAUUUAAAACACAAUCAUACUAUUAACUUAAAUUAAUUUUGUUAUUUUGUAAAUUCCAGGUCUUGGACCAAUUUGCAAUGUUACUGGAAUGUAAAACAACAAAUGUCACUUUGAUAAUCAUAUUCGAUAUGAUUUUAAUCGAACGUUUCCAUAACUUUGUAGGUUUUGUUUAUUGAAAAAUCACUGGAACGAUUAUAGAAAGAAUUGCUCAUGUUUACCGCAUUGCAACGCGGUUCAUUUUUCAUUCGCACGAAUAAAUAUGCGUUAUGCAAAUACUGUGAUUGUGUUGAAUUCAAAAAUUAAAAAAAUUCGAAACGUACGAGACCUCAAAUUUGGUCUUCAUUUCUUGGUUGUAUCGAUUGGUGGAGCUGCAGCAUUGUUUCUAGGAUGCAGUUUUAUAAGCUUUGCUGAGAUUAUCUACUUUACCACGAUACAUUUGUAUGAGACCCAUUUAAAGAGACGCAAAUGAAGGACGUUUUUUAUUUCUAUAUUUUCACGUUUUAUUUCUGUGCUUCGACAGAUGUUUUAUAGUACUUGGAUAUCAAAUGAAACACGUUUAUCCAUUUUAGUAACUAAAUCUAGAUACU